GGCUUCAUAGCUCAGUGGUUAGAGCACUGGUCUUGUAAACCAGUAGCCACAAGUUCAGUCCUUGCUGGGGCCU
rnacentral:tRNA from 1 species